CGGCAGCACAGGAGAGCUUGCUCUCUGGGUGGCGAGUGGCGGACGGGUGAGGAAUACAUCGGAGUCUACUUUUUCGUGGGGGAUAACGUAGGGAAACUUACGCUAAUACCGCAUACGACCUACGGGUGAAAGCAGGGGAUCUUCGGACCUUGCGCGAUUGAAUGAGCCGAUGUCGGAUUAGCUAGUUGGCGGGGUAAAGGCCCACCAAGGCGACGAUCCGUAGCUGGUCUGAGAGGAUGAUCAGCCACACUGGAACUGAGACACGGUCCAGACUCCUACGGGAGGCAGCAGUGGGGAAUAUUGGACAAUGGGCGCAAGCCUGAUCCAGCCAUACCGCGUGGGUGAAGAAGGCCUUCGGGUUGUAAAGCCCUUUUGUUGGGAAAGAAAUCCAGCUGGCUAAUACCCGGUUGGGAUGACGGUACCCAAAGAAUAAGCACCGGCUAACUUCGUGCCAGCAGCCGCGGUAAUACGAAGGGUGCAAGCGUUACUCGGAAUUACUGGGCGUAAAGCGUGCGUAGGUGGUCGUUUAAGUCCGUUGUGAAAGCCCUGGGCUCAACCUGGGAACUGCAGUGGAUACUGGGCGACUAGAGUGUGGUAGAGGGUAGCGGA
rnacentral:rRNA from 1 species